rnacentral:snRNA from 1 species
AGGGUGAGGCUCAUCCAUUGCAUUUCGGGAGUGCUGACUUCUGCGAUUUCCCCAAAUGUGGGAAACGUG